AACGUAGGACGCAAGCGUUAUCCGGAGUUACUGGGCGUAAAGCGUGCGCAGGCGGUUUUGUAAGUCUGUCGUGAAAGCCCCGGGCUUAACCUGGGAAUUGCGAUGGAGACUGCAAGGCUUGAAUCUGGCAGAGGGGGGUAGAAUUCCACGUGUAGCAGUGAAAUGCGUAGAGAUGUGGAGGAACACCGAUGGCGAAGGCAGCCCCCUGGGCUGACACUGACGCUCAGGCACGAAAGCGUGGGGAGCAAACAGG
rnacentral:rRNA from 1 species